AUUGAACGCUGGCGGCAGGCCUAACACAUGCAAGCCGAACGGUAACAGGAAGAAGCUUGCUUCUUUGCUGACGAGUGGCGGACGGGUGAGUAAUGUCUGGGAAACUGCCUGAUGAAGGGGGAUAACUACUGGAAACGGUAGCUAAUACCGCAUAACGUCGCAAGACCAAAGAGGGGGACCUUCGGGCCUCUUGCCAUCGGAUGUGCCCAGAUGGGAUUAGCUAGUAGGUGGGGUAACGGCUCACCUAGGCGACGAUCCCUAGCUGGUCUGAGAGGAUGACCAGCCACACUGGAACUGAGACACGGUCCAGACUCCUACGGGAGGCAGCAGUGGGGAAUAUUGCACAAUGGGCGCAAGCCUGAUGCAGCAAUGCCGCGUGUAUGAAGAAGGCCUUCGGGUUGUAAAGUACUUUCAGCGGGGAGGAAGGGAGUAAAGUUAAUACCUUUGCUCAUUGACGUUACCCGAAGAAGAAGCACCGGCUAACUCCGUG
rnacentral:rRNA from 1 species